rnacentral:misc_RNA from 1 species
AGAACUGCAAAUGGCCUUUAUGCGACCUGUGAAAGAGAGAAAACAAGUUAGAAACCUUCAUAAAAAACCUUAAAAUACCUGUGAGUGAAUUUAUGGCUUCAAAUAAUUACUCAGCUCCUCCUCCAACUGUCUUCUCAGGAUGGAUAUAUAAAAUGAAAUCAAAUUUGAAGAACAUGGUACUUCUUUGGAUCAACAGGAAUUUCUUCUUCACUUUUUUUAAGUGAAUUUUAAAUAAAUCUCAAUAAAA